AACGAACGCUGGCGGCAGGCUUAACACAUGCAAGUCGAGCGCCCCGCAAGGGGCGCGGCCGACGGGUGAGUAACGCGUGGGAACGUACCUUUUGGUUCGGAACAACUCCGGGAAACUGGAGCUAAUACCGGAUAAGCCCUAACGGGGAAAGAUUUAUCGCCGAAAGAUCGGCCCGCGUCUGAUUAGCUAGUUGGUGAGGUAACGGCUCACCAAGGCGACGAUCAGUAGCUGGUCUGAGAGGAUGAUCAGCCACACUGGGACUGAGACACGGCCCAGACUCCUACGGGAGGCAGCAGUGGGGAAUAUUGGACAAUGGGCGCAAGCCUGAUCCAGCCAUGCCGCGUGAGUGAUGAAGGCCUUAGGGUUGUAAAGCUCUUUUGUCCGGGAAGAUAAUGACUGUACCGGAAGAAUAAGCCCCGGCUAACUUCGU
rnacentral:rRNA from 1 species